GACGAACGCUGGCGGCGUGCUUAACACAUGCAAGUCGAACGGAAAGGCCCUGCUUUUGUGGGGUGCUCGAGUGGCGAACGGGUGAGUAACACGUGAGUAACCUGCCCUUGACUUUGGGAUAACUUCAGGAAACUGGGGCUAAUACCGGAUAGGAGCUCCUGCUGCAUGGUGGGGGUUGGAAAGUUUCGGCGGUUGGGGAUGGACUCGCGGCUUAUCAGCUUGUUGGUGGGGGAGUGGCUUACCAAGGCUUUGACGGGUAGCCCGCCUGAGAGGGUGACCGGCCACCUUGGGACUGAGAUACGGCCCAGACUCCUACGGGAGGCAGCAGUGGGGAAUAUUGCACAAUGGGCGGAAGCCUGAUGCAGCAACGCCGCGUGCGGGAUGACGGCCUUCGGGCUGUAAACCGCUUUCGCCUGUGACGAAGCGUGAGUGACGGUAAUGGGUAAAGAAGCACCGGCUAACUACGUG
rnacentral:rRNA from 1 species